rnacentral:rRNA from 1 species
UAAAAACUCACUCCGAGGAUACGGUAUUAGUAAUGAUGGGUAGGGGAGCUUCCCAUACGGGUUGAAGCAGGACCGUAAGGACAUGUGGACAGUAUGGGAGUGAGAAUGUUGGCAUGAGUAGCGGGAUGUGGGUGGGAAUCCCACAGGCCGUAAACCCAAGGUUUCCAGGGGAAGGUUCG